CGGCAAUGGAGGAAACUCUGACCGAGCAACGCCGCGUGAAUGACGAAGUACUUCGGUAUGUAAAGUUCUUUUAUCGAGGAAGAAAAGCAAAUGGCGAACCAUUUGUUUGCCGGUACUUGAUGAAUAAGCCCCGGCUAAUUAUGUGCCAGCAGCCGCGGUAAGACAUAAGGGGCAAGUGUUAUCCGGAAUUAUUGGGCGUAAAGGGUGCGUAGGCGGUCUAGUAAGUCAGUGGUGUAAUGGCAACGCUUAACGUUGUCCGGCUAUUGAAACUGCUAAACUUGAGUUAGAUAGAGGCGAGUGGAAUUCCAUGUGUAGCGGUAAAAUGCGUAAAUAUAUGGAGGAACACCAGAGGCGUAGGCGGCUCGCUGGGUCUUAACUGACGCUGAGGCACGAAAGCGUGGGGAGCAAACAGGAUUAGAUACCCUGGUAGUCCACGCCGUAAACGAUGAGUACUAAGUGUCGGGUUAAACCGGUACCGAAGUUAACACAUUAAGUACUCCGCCUGAGUAGUACGUACGCAAGUAUGAAACUUAAAGGAAUUGACGGGACUCCGCACAAGCGGUGGAUCACGUUGUUUAAUUCGAAGAUACCCGAAAAACCUUACCAGGUCUUGACAUGUUUUUGCAAAAUGAUAGUAAUAUCGUGGAGGUUACCAGAAACACAGGUGGUGCAUGGUUGUCGUCAGCUCGUGUCGUGAGAUGUUAGGUUAAGUCCUAAAACGAGCGAAACCCUUAUCGUUAGUUGCCAGCACGUUAUGGUGGGGACUUUAACGAGACUGCCAAUGAUAAAUUGGAGGAAGGUGAGGAUCACGUCAAAUCAGCAUGCCCCUUAUGACCUGGGCUACAAACGUGAUACAAUGGCUGUUACAAAGAGUAGCUGAA
rnacentral:rRNA from 1 species